AGAGGGAACCACACAUCUAUUGAUCUGUACCCCAGGCACACAGACGUCGUAGCAAGUUACCCAUAGAGUUUGAUCCUGGCUCAAUAAGUCGUAACAAGGUAACCCGUAUAGGUUUUGAAUUCUGCUCAGGACGAACGCUGGCGGCGUGCCUAAUACAUGCAAGUCGAGCGCGGGAAGCGAGCUGAAGCCCUUCGGGGUGGACGCUCGUGGAACGAGCGGCGGACGGGUGAGUAACACGUGGGCAACCUACCUGUGAGACGGGGAUAACUCCGGGAAACCGGGGCUAAUACCGGAUAACGCAUUGAACCGCAUGGUUCGAUGAUCAAAGAUGGCUUCUUGCUAUCACUCACAGAUGGGCCCGCGGCGCAUUAGUUAGUUGGUGAGGUAACGGCUCACCAAGGCGACGAUGCGUAGCCGACCUGAGAGGGUGAUCGGCCACACUGGGACUGAGACACGGCCCAGACUCCUACGGGAGGCAGCAGUAGGGAAUCAUCCGCAAUGGACGCAAGUCUGACGGUGCAACGCCGCGUGAGCGAUGAAGGUCUUCGGAUCGUAAAGCUCUGUUGUGAGGGAAGAACAAGUGCCGUUCGAAUAGGGCGGCACCUUGACGGUACCUCACCAGAAAGCCCCGGCUAACUACGUGCCAGCAGCCGCGGUAAUACGUAGGGGGCAAGCGUUGUCCGGAAUUAUUGGGCGUAAAGCGCGCGCAGGCGGUUCCUUAAGUCUGAUGUGAAAGGCCACAGCUCAACUGUGGAGGGCCAUUGGAAACUGGGGAACUUGAGGACAGAAGAGGAGAGCGGAAUUCCACGUGUAGCGGUGAAAUGCGUAGAUAUGUGGAGGAACACCAGUGGCGAAGGCGGCUCUCUGGUCUGUAACUGACGCUGAGGCGCGAAAGCAUGGGUAGCGAACAGGAUUAGAUACCCUGGUAGUCCAUGCCGUAAACGUUGAGUGCUAGGUGUUAGGGGGUCCAACCCUUAGUGCUGCAGUUAACGCAAUAAGCACUCCGCCUGGGGAGUACGGCCGCAAGGCUGAAACUCAAAGGAAUUGACGGGGGCCUGCACAAGCGGUGGAGCAUGUGGUUUAAUUCGACGCAACGCGAAGAACCUUACCAGGUCUUGACAUCUUCGGACAGCCCAAGAGAUUGGGUCUUCCCUUCGGGGACCGAAUGACAGGUGGUGCAUGGUUGUCGUCAGCUCGUGUCGUGAGAUGUUGGGUUAAGUCCCGUAACGAGCGCAACCCCUGAUCUUAGUUGCCAGCAUUCAGUUGGGCACUCUAGGAUGACUGCCGGUGACAAACCGGAGGAAGGCGGGGAUGACGUCAAAUCAUCAUGCCCCUUAUGACCUGGGCUACACACGUGCUACAAUGGAUGGUACAAAGGGAAGCCAAACCGCGAGGUCGAGCUAAUCCCAUAAAGCCAUUCUCAGUUCGGAUUGUAGGCUGCAACUCGCCUGCAUGAAGCCGGAAUCGCUAGUAAUCGCGGAUCAGAAUGCCGCGGUGAAUACGUUCCCAGGCCUUGUACACACCGCCCGUCACACCACGAGAGUUGGCAACACCCGAAGUCGGUGGGGUAACCUUCACGGAGCCAGCCGCCGAAGGUGGGGCCAAUGAUUGGGGUGAAGUCGUAACAAAGGUAACCA
rnacentral:rRNA from 1 species